UCUCUCUCUCUCUCUCUCUGAGAGUUAACCAUGGACAGCAUCAGAUCUGGACUCUACGGUCAGAUCUUCCGUCCCGAUAACUUCGUCGUCGGUCAGUCUUGUGCUGGAACCAACUGGGCAACAGGUCAGUACACCGGUUGGGGGGAAGGGGGGGGGUUGAGUUUGAUCGAUUUGGUUCUCGAUGUGGUGUGAAAGGAGGCGGAGAACAAUUUACUGCUUGCAAGUAAGGAAAAGAUCGUCUCCCAUCACUUGUCAGCCGUUUUCAAUCUCACAAAAGAACUCGAAGCCGCCAUUGACGUGUUUCCAAGCUCUGCGUCGAGGUCCAAACGACGUUAUGGUCAAGCCAAGGAGGGAUUCUCGAGAAGAACGACCCUCCUAUUUGAAGCCUUCAACUUUGUUUCUUUUCUCUCUGGAUCUGACCCGUAGCCGCUUAAUCUCCAUGCCUCUACCGAUCGUUAGUUGAGGCAAAGAGGUUCUUGUGCUGGCCACACCUACCUAUGAUUUUGGCAGGAGUUUAGCUUGCAUGGAAGCCUCGGAUGACCGUCUCUCUGUCUUCUCUACUUAUCAUUUUCUCACCAAUUCCACCUUUGAGUUUUGAAAGCACAGGUUAGUGCAAUUCAUUUGAUAAUUGGGGCUCUCCAGAGGAUGCAUUUAUUUGGUGUUGAGAACAGAGAUACUUUAAUUCACAAUGCCAUGGGUAAUCCUAUUUUCAUUACUUUAUGAGCUUUCUGUUCUUUCUAUUACCCAACUUACUGCCUCGUAUUUGAGCAUUAUGUGCAUAAAACUAAUGGGAACAAUGAUAAAAAAUGAAACUAGAGAAUAGAAACCUGAUAACAACUCCAAAACUAUUUUGAAGUGUGAAAUAGCAAGAGUUUGGGAACAGAGAUAAUUUAACUCACAAUAUCACGGGUAAUCCUAUUUUCAUUACUUUAUGAGCUUUCUAUUCUUUCAUUAAUUAAUCAGUUAGCACAUUUACUCAUUAGUCAGUGCCUGCAUUUCAUAUUUGUCAGGUUGAGGAUGUUUAAGGCCAUGACACACCAAUACAAGGGCUUGCUGAUUCAAUAGCUGGACCUUUUGUAUACAGUAUAAUGACUGGGCUACAAUAUUUGCUUUUUGAUAAUUGUAAAUGUCAACAGAAACAAAGGGAGUUGGAAUCAGAUCGCAUAGAAAAGUUGCCGGAGGUGGCAGAUGCAGCAUGGAGAGGAACAUGCAGAGAUUUAGGUUUUUUGAUGUUGUAUUAUAUUUGAAAUUGUGGGAGAAUUGUACAAUACAUUCUAUAAAUACGUGGUUGUGGCUAGACCAAAUUGUUAUUUUUUUUAUAUAUACUCCCAAUUUUGCCACUGAUGUUGGUGGCAUUGAAAAAACACACUGAUUCUGUAACAGUGGGAAAGAAAAAGGUGUAUUGCUGCAUUGGGUUUUG